rnacentral:rRNA from 1 species
GACGAACGCUGGCGGCGUGCUUAACACAUGCAAGUCGAGCGGUAAGGCCCUUUCGGGGGUACACGAGCGGCGAACGGGUGAGUAACACGUGAGCAACCUGCCCUUCUCUUUGGAAUAAGCGUUGGAAACGACGUCUAAUGCCGAAUAUGACCCCCUGUCGCAUGGUGGGGGGUGGAAAGCUCUGGCGGAGAAGGAUGGGCUCGCGGCCUAUCAGCUUGUUGGUGUGGGUAAUGGCCCACCAAGGCGACGACGGGUAGCCGGCCUGAGAGGGUGACCGGCCACACUGGGACUGAGACACGGCCCAGACUCCUACGGGAGGCAGCAGUGGGGAAUAUUGGACAAUGGGCGAAAGCCUGAUCCAGCAACGCCGCGUGAGGGAUGACGGCCUUCGGGUUGUAAACCUCUUUCAGCAGGGACGAAGCGAGAGUGACGGUACCUGCAGAAGAAGGACCGGCCAACUACGUGCCAGCAGCCGCGGUAAUACGUAGGGUCCGAGCGUUGUCCGGAAUUAUUGGGCGUAAAGGGCUCGUAGGCGGUUUGUCGCGUCGGGAGUGAAAACUCAGGGCUCAACCCUGAGCGUGCUUCCGAUACGGGCAGACUAGAGGUAUGCAGGGGAGAACGGAAUUCCUGGUGUAGCGGUGGAAUGCGCAGAUAUCAGGAGGAACACCGGUGGCGAAGGCGGUUCUCUGGGCAUUACCUGACGCUGAGGAGCGAAAGCAUGGGGAG